rnacentral:rRNA from 1 species
UACAGAGGUGGCAAGCGUUGUUCGGAAUUACUGGGCGUAAAGGGCGCGUAGGCGGCUUGGUCAGUCCCGUGUGAAAUCCUUCGGCUCAACUGAGGAACUGCACGGGAAACUGCCUGGCUUGAGUUCGGGAGAGGGAAGCGGAAUUCCGGGUGUAGCGGUGAAAUGCGUAGAUAUCCGGAGGAACACCGGUGGCGAAGGCGGCUUCCUGGACCGACACUGACGCUGAGGCGCGAAAGCUAGGGGAGCAAACGGG